GGAAUCUUCGGCAAUGGGGGCAACCCUGACCGAGCAACGCCGCGUGAGUGAAGAAGGUUUUCGGAUCGUAAAGCUCUGUUGUAAGUCAAGAACGGGUGUGAGAGUGGAAAGUUCACACUGUGACGGUAGCUUACCAGAAAGGGACGGCUAACUACGUGCCAGCAGCCGCGGUAAUACGUAGGUCGCGAGCGUUGUCCGGAUUUAUUGGGCGUAAAGCGAGCGCAGGCGGUUUGAUAAGUCUGAAGUUAAAGGCUGUGGCUCAACCAUAGUUCGCUUUGGAAACUGUCAAACUUGAGUGCAGAAGGGGAGAGUGGAAUUCCAUGUGUAGCGGUGAAAUGCGUAGAUAUAUGGAGGAACACCGGUGGCGAAAGCGGCUCUCUGGUCUGUAACUGACGCUGAGGCUCGAAAGCGUGGGGAGCGAACAGGAUUAGAUACCCUGGUAGUCCACGCCGUAAACGAUGAGUGCUAGGUGUUGGAUCCUUUCCGGGAUUCAGUGCCGCAGCUAACGCAUUAAGCACUCCGCCUGGGGGAGUACGACCGCAAGGUUGAAAC
rnacentral:rRNA from 1 species